rnacentral:lncRNA from 1 species
AGGGGAGGCGAUGGAGAGGAGCGCUCCGUGGUUAGAGGAUCUGCUGCCGUGAACGGAGGCGCCACUCCCCGAUCGGGCGGUGCUGGCUUCCCGCCGGCCGCACCAGGUACGUCUCGCUUUCCGCCGGGAACGCGGUGGUUUUCUUGGUGGUUCCGAAUGGCAGUGGCUCCUUGGUGGUGCUCUGUUUCUUCUUUUCUGUCGAGGAGGUACUGCAGCCCGUCGGAUGGGGUCAGCAAGGUGGUGUUCGGGUGGCAGACCAACGAGGAGGUGCUCGAGAUCGUCACGACCGGAGGUUAGAUUUUUUAUUCAUGCUACAAUAUUCUAAAGAGAAGGCCCGGCAGAAACAAGUCGGGAUCGACGAUUAAUGCGUUGAUCGUGGUUUCCGUCAACAAAUGCUGUCUACUUAGUAGUUGCAUAUUGCCUUUUCUAAUGCCAAUCAUAGUUAGUAGUUGCAUAUCGCCUUUUCUAAUGCCGAUCAUAGUUAGUAGUUGCAUAUCACCUUUUCUAAUGGUCAAUCAUCAUAACAAUAAAAUUGAUGUAAGAAUCAAUCCAAACCACAAAUCCAAUCAAAUUUGUCUUUUAUUCAAAUCAGAUGCAAUAUUGAGAUUGAUAUGAAGCACAAAAGUAACUAUGAUUUGUGCUUCCAAUCAAAAAACUCCCAUCCUCCAACUCCCAACCCCCAACCCCUUCUUCCUUUCCCCUCUUUGUUGUCUCCCUAGAAAAUUGCAUUAAAAGCUCCACCCCUCCAUCGAUUCAACUGUCUAUACCCUAUUAAUAUAAGAUUUGGAAUGGUAUAUGGAAU